rnacentral:rRNA from 1 species
GAUGAACGCUGGCGGCGUGCCUAAUACAUGCAAGUCGAGCGAACAGACGAGGUGCUUGCUCCUCUGACGUUAGCGGCGGACGGGUGAGUAACACGUGGAUAACCUACCUAUAAGACUGGGAUAACUUCGGGAAACCGGAGCUAAUACCGGAUAAUAUAUUUAACCGCAUGGUUCAAUAGUGAAAGACGGUUUUGCUGUCCCUUAUAGAUGGAUCCGCGCCGCAUUAGCUAGUUGGUAAGGUAACGGCGUACCAAGGCAACGAUGCGUAGCCGACCUGAGAGGGGGAUCGGCCACACUGGAACUGAGACACGGUCCAGACUCCUACGGGAGGCAGCAGUAGGGAAUCUUCCGCAAUGGGCGAAAGCCUGACGGAGCAACGCCGCGUGAGUGAUGAAGGUCUUCGGAUCGUAAAACUCUGUUAUUAGGGAAGAACAAAUGUGUAAGUAACUAUGCACGUCUUGACGGUACCUAAUCAGAAAGCCACGGCUAACUACGUG